GUUGUGAGAUUUAAUUUCAUGAACCAAACACACUACAUAUUUAAUAUAUCAAGAUACAAUCUUGCAAACCGAACAACCCCUUAAGAAAAUUCUCAAUCUGAACACUGAACAAAACUUUCUACCUUAAAACUCGAGCAUGAUUCACUAACCAAACAGAUCUAUUAUUGACACAACAUAAUUUGGGUUGACAUAAGCAUGUGCCUCUGAACAUUGGAUCACAAUUUCUGAAUUCUAAUGUGAAGUUGGUUGAUUUACUCUUUGGUGCGGAUAUUGUAGAGGUAACCGAUAAGGGGUUUGUCACUCCUGAUUUAUCUGUAGUUACUAAGCAAAAUGGGAUUGAAUGGAUUGUUGAAGGAAGUGUGAAGAGGUGCUUGGAAGAUGAGUUUGAUAGCUGUGAUGAUGUCUCCUUUGGAAAGAUCAAGAAGAAGAUGAAGAAAGUAAAUGUGAUUGAAGAAGAUGAUGAGGCUUCUGUCAGCUACAGUCAGGACAUAUCUAUUGGUGAUUAGUGUGGGAAAAACUUAUGAAUUUAGGUGUUUUUUAUUUUUGCUUAACCUUUUUGAACUUAUCAGAAUCUUCAUCUUAGUUUUUUUUUUGGUAUUAUUUAGCACUUUUAAGAUGAAUUUGAUCUGUAUUCACGGCUGAUGCCUUUUUUUUAAUGAAUUUUCUUUUAGUUUA